rnacentral:snRNA from 3 species
AUACCUUUCUCGGCCUCUUCGCUAAAAUUAAGUGUAGUAUCUGUUCUUGUCAGUUUAAUAUCUGAUACGUAGAUCUUCGGAUUCACAAUAUGAUAUUAAUUUAAUUUUGUUGAGGGGAGGAGGAACUGUAAAAUGUAGCUUGCUGAAUGGGUCCUCAUGUCUCGUCCAAGUGUUGCACUAUUGUUUGGAACAGGCACACCCCAA